GGGCCGUCCGGCGCGUCGUCCGACGCGGAGCGGGGCCGGCCCGGGCCGCCGUCGCCGGCUUCGUUGCGUGAGGCGCGGGGUCCGCGUCCGCUCUCUCCGCCAUUCGCUUUUCGCUCCGUCCGGGUCCCGGCGGUCCGGCGCGGGCCGUCAUGGUGCCGUUGGCGCGCCCGGCGCGACCCCGCUGAGCCUCGGUGCGGCGGCGGACGCGGCUGGAGGUCACCAUGCCUACCCGAGUGUGCUGCUGCUGUUCUGCCUUGCGUCCUCGCUACAAACGCCUGGUGGACAACAUAUUCCCUGAGGAUCCCAAAGUAAUUUGAUCCACAUCUACUGACCCUUCUCUUUGCUGACCCAUCCUGCCCCCCGCUGACCUCCCUAAGGAUGGCCUUGUGAAAGCUGAUAUGGAGAAAUUGACAUUUUAUGCAGUAUCUGCUCCAGAGAAACUGGAUCGAAUUGGUUCUUACCUGGCAGAAAGGUUGAGCAGGGAUGUUGUCAGACAUCGUUCUGGGUAUGUUUUAAUUGCUAUGGAGGCCUUGGACCAACUUCUUAUGGCUUGUCAUUCUCAAAGCAUCAAGCCAUUUGUAGAAAGUUUUCUUCAUAUGGUGGCAAAGCUGCUGGAAUCAGGGGAACCGAAGCUGCAAGUUCUUGGAACAAACUCUUUUGUCAAAUUUGCAAAUAUUGAAGAAGACACACCGUCCUACCACAGACGUUAUGACUUUUUUGUAUCUCGAUUCAGUGCCAUGUGUCAUUCCUGUCACAGUGAUCCAGAAAUACGCACAGAAAUUCGAAUUGCUGGAAUCAGGGGUAUUCAAGGUGUGGUUCGCAAAACAGUUAAUGAUGAACUUCGGGCUACCAUUUGGGAACCUCAGCAUAUGGAUAAGAUUGUUCCAUCCCUCCUGUUUAACAUGCAAAAGAUAGAAGAAGUUGACAGUCGCAUAGGCCCUCCUUCUUCCCCUUCUGCAGCUGACAAAGAAGAGAAUCCUGCUGUGCUGGCUGAGAACUGUUUCAGGGAACUGCUGGGUCGGGCUACUUUUGGGAAUAUGAAUAAUGCUGUUAGACCAGUUUUUGCACAUUUAGAUCAUCAUAAACUGUGGGAUCCCAAUGAAUUUGCAGUUCACUGCUUUAAAAUUAUAAUGUAUUCCAUUCAGGCUCAGUAUUCUCACCAUGUGAUCCAGGAGAUUCUGGGACACCUUGAUUCUCAUAAAAAAGAUUCUCCACGGGUUCGGGCAGGCAUUAUUCAGGUUCUGUUAGAGGCUGUCGCCAUUGCUGCUAAAGGUUCCAUAGGGCCCACAGUGCUGGAAGUCUUUAAUACCCUUUUGAAGCAUCUGCGUCUCAGUGUUGAAUUUGAAGCAAAUGAUUUACAGGAGGGAUCUGUAAACAGUGCCAACUUAAACACAAGUUCCAAAGACAAUGAUGAGAAGAUUGUGCAGAAUGCAAUCAUCCAAACUAUUGGAUUUUUUGGAAGUAACCUACCAGAUUAUCAGCGGUCAGAAAUCAUGAUGUUCAUUAUGGGGAAAGUACCUGUUUUUGGAACAUCCACCCAUACUUUGGAUAUAAGUCAAUUAAGGGAAUUGGGAACCAGGCGGAUUCAGAUAAUGUUGCUGAGAUCUUUACUUAUGGUAACCUCAGGAUACAAAGCAAAGACAAUUGUUACUGCACUGCCAGGCUCUUUUCUGGAUCCCUUGUUAUCGCCAUCGCUCAUGGAAGACUAUGAGCUGAGACAGUUAGUCCUGGAAGUAAUGCAUAAUCUGAUGGAUCGCCACGACAACAGAGCAAAGCUUCGAGGGAUCAGAAUAAUUCCAGAUGUGGCUGAUCUAAAGAUAAAAAGAGAAAAAAUCUGUAGGCAAGAUACAAGUUUCAUGAAAAAGAAUGGGCAGCAGCUAUAUCGGCACAUAUAUUUGGGCUGUAAAGAGGAUGACAAUGUUCAGAAAAACUAUGAGCUACUUUAUACUUCUCUUGCUCUUAUAACUAUUGAACUGGCCAAUGAAGAAGUGGUUAUUGAUCUCAUUCGAUUAGCCAUUGCUUUACAGGACAGUGCGAUUAUCAAUGAGGAUAAUUUGUCAAUGUUCCAUCGCUGUGGAAUCAUGGCACUGGUUGCAGCAUAUCUCAACUUUGUAAGUCAGAUGAUAGCUGUCCCUGCGUUUUGCCAGCAUGUUAGCAAGGUUAUUGAAAUUCGCACUUUGGAAGCCCCUUAUUUUCUACCAGAGCAUAUUUUCAGAGAUAAGUGCAUGCUUCCAAAAUCUUUAGAGAAGCAUGAAAAAAAUCUGUACUUUCUGACCAACAAAAUUGCAGAGUCAUUAGGUGGAAGUGGAUACAGUGUUGAGAGAUUGUCAGUACCUUACGUACCACAAGUCACAGAUGAAGAUCGACUUUCUAGAAGAAAAAGUAUUGUGGACACUGUCUCCAUUCAGGUGGAUAUUUUAUCCAACAGCAUUCCCUCUGAUGAUGUGAGAAAAGCAACUGAGGAUUCCCAAAUUUAAUCUGACUACAACUAGAAAUCUGAACACGCAAUAGAAAAACAGAGAUAGUGGAAUUCUUGCUACUUAAUUUCCAGCUAAAGCCUUUGUAUUACAGAGAUGCUAAGUUGCAAAGCAUGAAGUCUUUUGCUUUUGUUAGUGUUGCUGCCCUAGGCUUAGCAAAGAAGCUCAUGAGCUAAAAUUAGGAAUGACCAGAGUCCCAGGUUAGUAACACUGAAGAAAUCACCUUUGAAGCACUGAAGAAAGCUAUUGAUACCAGUGGAAUGGAAGAACAGGAAAAGGAAAAGAGGCGUCUUGUAAUAGAGAAAUUUCAGAAAGCACCUUUUGAAGAAAUAGCAGCACAGUGUGAAUCCAAAGCAAAUUUGCUUCAUGAUAGACUUGCUCAAAUAUUGGAACUCACCAUACGUCCUCCUCCCAGUCCAUCAGGUACAUUGACCAUUACUUCUGGGCAUGCUCAGUACCAAUCUGUCCCAGUCUAUGAGAUGAAGUUUCCAGAUCUGUGUGUGUAUUGAGUGGCUCAUGAAGAUCUCGGCAUAGGAUUUUAAAGCCUCAACGUUAAGGCCAACCCGAGCUUUCAGGGCUUACUUAAUUGUGUGCUCACAUACUUCUUGAAGAUAGUAAUGGAACAUAUCUUUAACCAAAUGCUUGGCAUAUCAUAUUAGAAGUUUUGGAUCUAUAUGUAAUUUAGAGUACUUUUGAAGAUAGAGUCAUGCCAUGUCAAUAUGUUUUGAGGUUCCUAUUGGCUUUUAAAUUUGAACAUGUACUGGUCUCACAUUAUUCCAUUGUUAAAUAAUGUAUUUUAAACUUUUCACAAACAUGUAAUUGUUUUUUGAAGUCUGUAGAGCCUAGAAAAUGUAUGAAGUGUCUACUGUAUUUCUUAAACAUCUACACAACUGCUUAGAAAUAGAAUUUCUUAUUUUGUUUGUUUUCUACAAAAACAGACACAUUCAAAUAUAUUUCUAGUCCUGGGACUGUUCUGUGACUUUUUGUUCCUACGUCUUAGAUAAGUUGUAAUAGAUGUCCCUCUCUUCAUUCACUGUCAUAAAAUGUGAUAGACAUUUCUUAUCUUUUUCAUAGUAGUAAGAUAUCUCUUGAAUAGCAUUCCUAGAAUAUAACCCUAAAAAUCACCUUUUUUAAAAAGUGUCUGAUUCUUGUAAUACCAUGUUCCCUGCCAGGAGUUUGACCAUUCUGCUUGAGAGAUGUAGAGCUUACUCUUGGAGUACCGAACUGUGCAAUAUUUUUUACAUCAUAAGAUGUAUUAGUUUACAAGCUGUGCUUUGAAAUUAUAGUAGUAUUUUGCUGUGGCUCUAUUAAUUAAAUGAGAUAUAUAUUUAGUAUAGAAAAAAACAUUUAAAACAGCUACUAGUUCACCUGUGAGGAGUCUACAUUUUUAUUUUUAUUAAGAGCACAUUAAUUUACGGUUUUAUAUUGUGCAUUGUUUUAAAUCUUCAUAGUAAAAUAAUUCCUCAGAUGAAUUUUUAAUUUGUAACAUUUGAACUAUGACUUGUAGGAGUCUCUGUUUAGGGUUAGUUAUAUUACAUUUCAUGAGUGCCUGUGUUUUAACAUCAAGUGUGCUAAGUUUCGUCAAUUUAAGCUGCUUUUGAUUUUAGCUACCAAGAUCACGGUUGCACUUUACACGUGCACUGGCAGACCCAUACAAUUAUGUAUAUUUUAGUGAAUUCCAUCAUAUGGUAAAAUGAACAACUGUCUUUGCAACUCAUAAAAUUCUCUUAGGACAUUUUUAUAAAAUCACCUGUUUACAGUUCUACCUUUUCAGAUUUAAUUUCUUUUACAUAAAACAAUAUACAUGUCAAAAACUGUAUUUCAAAAAACAAUGCAGUUUUUGGCUUUUGGUUUUGUUUGAAGAAUUGCAGUGAAGAAUGGGUUGUUUUAACUUUAUGUUUAUGGUGACUUGGAUACCUUUAGUAGAAACAGAAAAAAGUAAGGAAAUGAUAAUAGAAAAAGCAUACUUGAAAAUUUUUGAAUAUUUAAACCAAAGUGUAACAUGUUGAAAAAGAAUCUAGUCAUUGAAACCUGUGACAUGACACGGCAACAUCCUAGCUCUUUACUAAAUGUAGAUAAACAAGAUGUUGUUUCAGAGUGACACUGGAGUCACCUGUGAAGGGCUAAAUUGCCCCAUUUCAGCUGUCACUGGAACUUUGCCUCUUGAUUAGGUAAAACGCUUCACUAAGCCAAGUUUUGUUGUUUUUUUUUUAAUUUCCCUUUCUGCCUUCUGUAUUUUUAAAGAAGGAUAUUAAUUUUUGACUGUACAUUUAAAAAAAUCUAAGCAGGAGGACAUGCAAAAAACAAUCAUCAUCCACUUGGGUGUCAUUUUAUAAAUUAACACUGUGUGCUUUUGUAUGGAAAUAUAUAUAGUUUAAUAGUCUAAGAAGAGAAAAUAUAUAUUCAUUUGCACUCAUGUGAAACACAAACUUUGCUCUACAAAAUUUCAUGUUUCUGAGUGAUUGAAAAAUGCAUGUGUCGCAUGUAUAGGAAAACCAUUGCAAUUAACGUUUACCACAUCUUUUUUUGGUCUUUGUAAACUGUUGAUUUGGGUUUUGUGGGGGUGUUGUUGUUGCUCUUAAGUCACAGUAGACUUCUGUAUAUCCUGACCCCUGAGCUGCGCCUGCUGACAAAGAUGCCCAAGAAAGGGGUCUCCCUGGCUGGCCCUUCCUUGCCUGCAGGGGAUUCUGCAGGCGCUCACUGUGCCUGCAGUACUGCUGCCAGUUCAGAUAUCAAAAGCCUAGGAUUGGUUGAAGCUCACUAUACUGAUAUUUUUGUAGGUAUACAAAACUCUUAGUAGAUUGUUAAUUAUUCUUUUAGCUGUGUGCCGUUGCUUAUAUCAUUAUUCUCUUGACAUUGAACAAUUAGCAUUUAUAUGUUCCUCUGAACUUGUGUUUUCUGUGACUGCUUCUGUAGUCAUGUUGUCGUUGGAGUUUUCCUGAGUACAUAUGCUCGCUCACACACACACAUACUUCCUCAGUACUUCUGAACUCAUUAUCUUUUAGAGGAAAACUACUACACCUUACCAGCAAUUAACUUCUCCCUCCCCAAAAUGUCUCUCUUUCUCCUGUCUGCAAAUGGAACUAAUUUGUCUUAUUCAUGCUGAUAUAUGUAUUUAAUGUAAUGAUAUGAUUUUUUUUGAAAUGUAAAAAUUCACUGUGCAAUUCAUAUGUAAGCAAUAAAACAAAAAAUCAAA